CAAGGUGUUAUUCUAUUCAAAGUGUACAGAAAUGACAGAAGUGAUCCUCCUAUUCAGUUUCUUUCUCAAGUGACUUGUUGAUUACAUUAAAAUUUGUAUGUCAUGAAAUAAAUGUGAGGAGCAUCAGAUUUAUUUGACUCUACUCUCAAAGAAGUAUAUAUUUACAAUGUUGUCAGUAUUAUGUUUUCUCUUGUACACAUGCAUGGGAUAUUUUAGAAUGCAGUGACCUAUGAUGAUGUGCAUGUUGACUUCACUUGGGAAGAGUGGACUUUACUGGAUCCUUCCCAGAAGAAUCUCUACAAAGAGGUGAUGAUUGAGACCUACAGGAACCUCACUAUUAUAGGAUACAAUUGGGAAAACCAUAAUACUGAAGAGCAUCCUCAAAGUUCUAGAGGAGAUGAAAGAUGCACACCAACUCUUAAUAAAGUGGAAUAACAUGAGGGUAAACAAUGA